AUAGCGUAUAUUAAAGUUGUUGCAGUUAAAAAGCUCGUAGUUGAACUUCAGACCUGGCUGGGCGGUCGGCUUAUCGGCUAGUACUGUCCGGCUGGGCCUUACUUCUUGGUGAGCUGGUGUGCCCUUUAUUGGGUGCGUCGGUGAACCAGGACCUUUACCUUGAGAAAAUUAGAGUGUUCAAAGCAGGCCUAUGCCCGAAUACAUUAGCAUGGAAUAAUGAAAUAGGACGUGUGGUUCUAUUUUGUUGGUUUCUAGAGUCGCCGUAAUGAUUAAUAGGGAUAGUUGGGGGCAUUGGUAUUGAGUCGCUAGAGGUGAAAUUCUUGGAUUGACUCAAGACCAACUAUUG
rnacentral:rRNA from 1 species